UACGAAGGGGGCUAGCGUUGCUCGGAAUCACUGGGCGUAAAGCGCACGUAGGCGGCUUGUUAAGUCAGGGGUGAAAUCCUGGAGCUCAACUCCAGAACUGCCUUUGAUACUGGCGAGCUUGAGUCCGGGAGAGGUGAGUGGAACUGCGAGUGUAGAGGUGAAAUUCGUAGAUAUUCGCAAGAACACCAGUGGCGAAGGCGGCUCACUGGCCCGGUACUGACGCUGAGACGCGAAAGCGUGGGGAGCAACAGG
rnacentral:rRNA from 1 species